UCUAAGACAGCCUCCUUUGCUAACAAAUUCAAUUGUACCUUUGAAUGAGUGUUUACUGCUGACUGGAGGGGGUGCUUUAGUCCCCAUUCAACCAGUUUCCCAAGAUUCCAUAGGGACAGACAGUUUGAUCUGGUGGCAUAAGCAAUGUCACUAUGGAUACAAAUAGGGCGUGUGCCAAAUUCCUUUGAAAAAUGUACAAGUCCCAAAAAAUGUCUUCAAGGAUUGUUUGUUAAAAGGUCUGGGGACUUGUAAGAUUGCUAUCACUCUUUAAUUGGGCAGCUGUGAUAGCUACUCCCAAAAAUUUUACCUUUUGUGUGAGCAACCUUUGAAGUGUUUAGCU